UAUAGUGAUGAAUAUAAUCACAAUUGUCACUACCUCUGAGGCACAUUCUCUUUUCGUUUUGUAUCUGAUUUAUUAGGCCUAGUAAUUGCAUCUAAGAACGGAGAUAUGAAG